GCCUAGGUGGCUCAGUCAGUUAAGCGUCUGACUUCAGCUCAGGUCAUGAUCUCACGGUUCGUGGGUUCGAGCCCCAUGUCGGGCU
rnacentral:tRNA from 1 species